UUUUUAUUUUAAUAUUUAAUUUUUUUACGAUAUUAAUAAUAAGUAAUAACGAUUGAAGUAAUUAAUAGUCAAAAGUUAGAGAUAACUGAGUGACAGUAGUGGUGGUGAUGUUAAUGGUAAUAACGGUGGUUAGGUGGUGGUAAAAUGAGGAUAGUGAUAGUGGUAAUGGUCAGGCGAUGAUGGUGCGGUAGUAGUAAUCAUGAUGACAAUGUGAGGAUAACGUUAGCUAAGUAGUGGUAGUAAUGGCAAUUUUGAUAAUAAAUAAAUAAAAUCAUACUAAAUAAUCAUAAUUUAUAUCAAUUUUAUUAUGUAAUAAUUAUUAUGUUACUUUUAAAU
rnacentral:misc_RNA from 1 species